AGGAUGGGCAGCUGAGCUGACAUUGCCAGGACUACAACCUGCAAUUCUGAGGCUGGCAUAGGUGCGUCAUCUAACUGACUGAGCUAUGUAACCAGCGCUUUUGGUACUGAAGGAGUUAAAUCAACAGCACAUACCUGAAGAGUUUCACUUCAUCAUCCCCAAAAGAACAUAUCUUCUUUUCCUCCAAACUAUGAUGUCCCAUUACACUGUCCCCGGUCAGUCUUGGUACUUUCCUUCCUUGUCUCUCUCCUUUCCUUUUCUGUGACUUCAGUGUUUAAUCCCAAGAUCGUAAUGUUUGUGCAAUGAUAUGGGCAUGAUACAGAGACAGCUGUACUCUAUUUACCAACCAGAAAAGGUUCCGUGUGAUGGGAAAGAAAGCUGUACAAAGCAUCACUGCAUAGACAAAGCAAAAGACUAUUGCUAAAUUGUAUUUAAAAUGUCAUGUAAUCACUCACAGAAACAAAGUUGCCAUCUUCAGACUAUAAUAUUGAUACUUUUUAAAAAAAAAAGAUUUUUCUUCAGUCCAACUAGACCUAUGCCUAGGGCAACAGGAUUACGAAGCAACACAUUUUAACCCUUUAAGGACACAACUUUCAAUUUGCUCAAUUGUUUUAUGACGGAAAAAUUCUGUCAUAUGUCCUUAAGAGGUUAAGGAAGAGUCCUAUUGUUUGAUGCUUUCCCACCUCUACAUGGUCCAGAUGUUUUAUUUAUUAUUUUUAUUACAAUCAGUGAUCUCUUCUUGACUACUGGGGCUGCACAACCUCUCUGUUUGCCCCAGGCUACCUAUUGGGAGAAAUCUAUCAGGUAAAUAUGAGAUAAAAUUAUUUGGGUGGGGGUGUUAGAUUUCCCAGUACACAGAGCAGCACAAAAACUAAAUAUGCUACUGAAUGUUAAUUAAAACUGGUAGCAAUAGAGUGAAUCAUUCAACAUGAAAUACAAAAAGCAUUCAUUUCUAAACAAUUCAUUUCAAGCACUUACAUCUGCUAUAAAGAACUUUACAACACUGGAGCAUCUCGAGGACUUACAGCCUCUGAUACCAGAAGUGCUGUUGUCCUAUGAGAAUAGAGGAACCCUUUCUGAUAUCUACCACACACUGAUCAAUGAUAACCCCACACCGAUUCCUAUGAGGCCUUUCUGAGACAUAACAAUGAUUGUAUAGUAGGUACUCACCCACCACCUGUGUCUCUGGACAUUCUCAGACUUCUUCUGGUAGGUCUGGAAUCAGCAGGAUGGCCCAGAGCUUUAACACACUUGUGGGUGGUCCAAGGUAAACACAGGACAGGUGUACAGUGACACCUCAGGCACAGGGGAUAAGGGAGCAGAUUCCCAGCAAAUCAGAAAGUGCUGGAACUGAGGGAUGAUAACAUGGUAUGGAUAGUCUCAGAACCGUUUGAGGUAGUUAAGAUAUAAAGGUCAGACACAGAUCAGCUCCCUGUCUUUCACUGACACCUACACACAGUGCUGUCCCCGUAGCUUACACAUACAAGUGUCGUCCCUGUAGCUUACACAUACACACAGACAGUACAUACACACAGUGCCAGUAACUGUAGCUCACACACAUAUACACACAGUGCCAGUAACUGUAGCUCACACACAUAUACACACAGUGCCAGUAACUGUAGCUCACACACAUAUACACACAGUGCUGUCACUGUAGCUCACACACAUAUACACACAGUGCCAGUAACUGUAGCUCACACACACAUAUACACACAGUGCCAGUAACUGUAGCUCACACACAUAUACACACAGUGCUGUCACUGUAGCUCACACACAUAUACACACAGUGCCAGUAACUGUAGCUCACACACACAUAUACACACAGUGCCAGUAACUGUAGCUCACACACAUAUAUACACAUGCAGUGAUGUCCCUAUAUAUACAAACAGUGCAUGGAUUUCACACACAUAUACAUCUACACACAGUGCUGUCCCUGUAUCUCACACAAAGUGACAAGAAAGUGAAAAGACUUGGUAGGGUGACAAUUAGAUUAACAGGUCCCUGGAGAACAGGUAAGUAGAUGACAGAGGGACACAUAGAGUAGAUCCCUAGAAUACAGAUACACAGACAGAAUAAAGAUAUACAUAAAGGACAGUGGGACACAGAAACAGGACAGAGAACCACACACACGACAGAGGGACACACAGGCAGGACAGAGGGACACACAAUUCUCGGGAGCCCUUUCACACAGAGUGACAGCCACACUGACAAGUCUCUGGGGAUCUCACACACACACUCUGAAUGUCACGCUGAACCAGGGCUGGGCUCACUGACUCUGCCCCUCUGGGUGUUUCCUUCUUACACACAGUGAGAGGUUGGCAGCUAGCUACUCAGCCUGUGAGCUGCAUACACAUUAGAUUGCAAGCUCAUUGGGGCACUAGUCAAUCUGCUGUGUUAUAUAGGCUCAGAGAAUUUCUGGUUUGCAUUAAAUAGUAAAGGAAUACACAAUCAAUUCACCAUCUCAUCUACAUUCAAAAAAUAUCUAUUUUCCUAAGUGUUUAGACUGUACUGUCACAGUAACGCUUUUUGUAUAUGAACAGACAUUAUGGCACCAAUGUCACACAUCAUGAGAGGUUAAACAUUUAAAAAUAAACAGCAGCAAUAAUAAAACCUUUCUGAAUGUAUUAACAGUCUGGUUUACCAGGAACACAGUUCCAGGUAGCAUAUUAGGUAUUUAUUUGUUAGCAGCACUCGAGAAUACACGGACAGUUCUCCCAAACAUUUUCUCCCCAUUAAAUUAUUCCCAAUGAUCCCUUUUACCUGCUAGAGUGUAUAAAAUUGGUUACAAGUAGCUGCUUUACUCCUAUUUCAGCAAUUAAAAUAGCUGAUUUAGCUUCUGCUAUAGCCACCUAUACUGAAAGUUUUUAUACUGGAGUAUAUGCUAUUGACAAGCCUAAGUAAACACAGCCAGCAGAAGUUACACUCUCAGUGGGAUGCAGGAUAGUUAAGUAAUAAAAUGAUAAUUGUCCAUUGUUCUCUUUAUGUAUUGAGCUUUGGUGUUCCAGACAAAUAUAAGAUAAGGAAGCAAAUGUGUGUACACAAAGUUAUAACAUAAUGAGAUCUGAUAUUACCUUUAAGUUUAACCCAUUGUAAUAGACUGUGGUUUCAAAGCAUAAAAUCAGCUACUUCCUAUACACAUAUAAGAAUGAAAAUGCAAUUUCUCAAAUAUUUUAUACUCUGCAGUUGGUAUAACAAGUUAUUUAAAAUACAUUAAUGGAAAAACAA